GACGAACGCUGGCGGCGUGCCUAAUACAUGCAAGUCGAACGAACCGCGACUAGGUGCUUGCACUUGGUCAAGGUGAGUGGCGAACGGGUGAGUAACACGUGGGUAACCUACCUCAUAGUGGGGGAUAACAGUCGGAAACGACUGCUAAUACCGCAUAGGACAUGGAAUCACAUGAUUCUGUGAGGAAAGGUGGCGCAAGCUAUCGCUAAGAGAUGGACCCGCGGUGCAUUAGCUAGUUGGUAGGGUAAAGGCCUACCAAGGCGAUGAUGCAUAGCCGACCUGAGAGGGUGAUCGGCCACAUUGGGACUGAGACACGGCCCAAACUCCUACGGGAGGCAGCAGUAGGGAAUCUUCCGCAAUGGACGCAAGUCUGACGGAGCAACGCCGCGUGAGUGAAGAAGGUCUUCGGAUCGUAAAGCUCUGUUGUUAGAGAAGAACAGCGCAUAGAGUAACUGCUAUGCGUGUGACGGUAUCUAACCAGAAAGCCACGGCUAACUACGUGCCAGCAGCCGCGGUAAUACGUAGGUGGCGAGCGUUGUCCGGAUUUAUUGGGCGUAAAGGGAGUGUAGGCGGUCUUUUAAGUCUGAUGUGAAAGCCCACGGCUCAGCCGUGGAGGGUCAUUGGAAACUGGGAGACUUGAGUGCAGAAGAGGAGAGCGGAAUUCCAUGUGUAGCGGUGAAAUGCGUAGAUAUAUGGAGGAACACCAGUGGCGAAGGCGGCUCUCUGGUCUGUAACUGACGCUGAGGCUCGAAAGCGUGGGGAGCAAACAGG
rnacentral:rRNA from 1 species